CAUCGCAUAGUCUAGUGGUCGGGACGUCCGACACGAAGUCGGGAGACCCGGGUUCGAUUCCCGGUGCGGUGG
rfam:Glossina pallidipes unplaced genomic scaffold Scaffold1, whole genome shotgun sequence.